rnacentral:rRNA from 1 species
AGCAGCCGCGGUAAUUCCAGCUCCAAUAGCGUAUAUUAAAGUUGUUGCAGUUAAAAGCUCGUAGUUGAAUUUCGGGAUUAGUACGCUGGUCGUGCCUUCGGUACGUACUGGUGUUACUGAUUCCUACCUUCUGACGAACCGUCAUGUCAUUAAUUUGAUGUGGCGGGGAAUCAGGACUGUUACUUUGAAAAAUUGAGUGUUUAAAGCAGGCUCGCGCUUGAAUACAUUAGCAUGGAAUAAUGAAAUAGGACGUUCGAUCCUAUUUUGUUGGUUUCUAGGAUUGACGUAAUGAUUAAUAGGGAUAGUUGGGGGCAUUAGUAUUCAAUUGUCAGAGGUGAAAUUCUUGGAUUUAUUGAAGACUAACUACUGCGAAAGCAUUUGCCAAGGAUGUUUUCAUUAAUCAAGAACGAAAGUUAGGGAUCGAAGACGAUCAGAUACCGUCGUAGUCUU